rnacentral:rRNA from 1 species
GAUGAACGCUGGCGGCGUGCCUAAUACAUGCAAGUCGAGCGAACGGACGAGAAGCUUGCUUCUCUGAUGUUAGCGGCGGACGGGUGAGUAACACGUGGAUAACCUACCUAUAAGACUGGGAUAACUUCGGGAAACCGGAGCUAAUACCGGAUAAUAUUUUGAACCGCAUGGUUCAAAAGUGAAAGACGGUCUUGCUGUCACUUAUAGAUGGAUCCGCGCUGCAUUAGCUAGUUGGUAAGGUAACGGCUUACCAAGGCAACGAUGCAUAGCCGACCUGAGAGGGUGAUCGGCCACACUGGAACUGAGACACGGUCCAGACUCCUACGGGAGGCAGCAGUAGGGAAUCUUCCGCAAUGGGCGAAAGCCUGACGGAGCAACGCCGCGUGAGUGAUGAAGGUCUUCGGAUCGUAAAACUCUGUUAUUAGGGAAGAACAUAUGUGUAAGUAACUGUGCACAUCUUGACGGUACCUAAUCAGAAAGCCACGGCUAACUACGUGCCAGCAGCCGCGGUAAUACGUAGGUGGCAAGCGUUAUCCGGAAUUACUGGGCGUAAAGCGCGCGUAGGCGGUUUUUUAAGUCUGAUGUGAAAGCCCACGGCUCAACCGUGGAGGGUCAUUGGAAACUGGAAAACUUGAGUGCAGAAGAGGAAAGUGGAAUUCCAUGUGUAGCGGUGAAAUGCGCAGAGAUAUGGAGGAACACCAGUGGCGAAGGCGACUUUCUGGUCUGUAACUGACGCUGAUGUGCGAAAGCGUGGGGAUCAAACAGGAUUAGAUACCCUGGUAGUCCACGCCGUAAACGAUGAGUGCUAAGUGUUAGGGGGUUUCCGCCCCUUAGUGCUGCAGCUAACGCAUUAAGCACUCCGCCUGGGGAGUACGACCGCAAGGUUGAAACUCAAAGGAAUUGACGGGGACCCGCACAAGCGGUGGAGCAUGUGGUUUAAUUCGAAGCAACGCGAAGAACCUUACCAAAUCUUGACAUCCUUUGACAACUCUAGAGAUAGAGCUUUCCCCUUCGGGGGACAAAGUGACAGGUGGUGCAUGGUUGUCGUCAGCUCGUGUCGUGAGAUGUUGGGUUAAGUCCCGCAACGAGCGCAACCCUUAAGCUUAGUUGCCAUCAUUAAGUUGGGCACUCUAAGUUGACUGCCGGUGACAAACCGGAGGAAGGUGGGGAUGACGUCAAAUCAUCAUGCCCCUUAUGAUUUGGGCUACACACGUGCUACAAUGGACAAUACAAAGGGCAGCGAAACCGCGAGGUCAAGCAAAUCCCAUAAAGUUGUUCUCAGUUCGGAUUGUAGUCUGCAACUCGACUACAUGAAGCUGGAAUCGCUAGUAAUCGUAGAUCAGCAUGCUACGGUGAAUACGUUCCCGGGUCU